AUUCUGAAAGUUCAACCAGCAUUAUGGACAAAAAGUAUACACUUCGAACAGACACAAAAACAUAUAGGUCCAUGCCAAGCUAUGAAAGAUUUAUGCUGAGGAUGAAAGGGAAUUGCAGAAGAAUGAAUUGAUGUUAACAUCUCAACAUUAAAUUUGGCUUAAAUUUGAA